UACGUAGGGGGCAAGCGUUAUCCAGAUUUACUGGGUGUAAAGGGAGCGUAGACGGCGAUGCAAGCCAGAUGUGAAAGCCCGGGGCUCAACCCCGGGACUGCAUUUGGAACUGUAUAGCUAGAGUGUCGGAGAGGCAGGCGGAAUUCCUAGUGUAGCGGUGAAAUGCGUAGAUAUUAGGAGGAACACCAGUGGCGAAGGCGGCCUGCUGGACGAUGACUGACGUUGAGGCUCGAAAGCGUGGGGAGCAAACAGG
rnacentral:rRNA from 1 species